GAUGAACGCUAGCGGCAGGCUUAAUACAUGCAAGUCGAGGGGCAGCACAGGUAGCAAUACUGGGUGGCGACCGGCAAACGGGUGCGGAACACGUACACAACUUACCUUAGAGUGGGGGAUAGCCCAGGGAAACUUGGAUUAAUACCCCAUAAAACAGGGGGCCCGCAUGGGCAUAUUGUUAAAGAUUUAUCGCUUUAAGAUGGGUGUGCGUAUGAUUAGGUAGUUGGUAGGGUAAAGGCCUACCAAGCCGACGAUCAUUAACUGGUGUGAGAGCACGACCAGUCACACGGGCACUGAGACACGGGCCCGACUCCUACGGGAGGCAGCAGUAAGGAAUAUUGGUCAAUGGACGGAAGUCUGAACCAGCCAUGCCGCGUGAAGGAUGAAGGUCCUCUGGAUUGUAAACUUCUUUUAUAGGGGGCGAAAAAGGGCCAUUCUUGGUCAACCGACGGUACCCUAUGAAUAAGCACCGGCUAACUCCGUGCCAGCAGCCGCGGUAAAAC
rnacentral:rRNA from 1 species